UGGAGGAGCAAAGGUCUCCACCCUCGCUAGGGAGAGGGUCCCCUCCAUCCGCGCACCUUUCUCCCCGCCGCGGCCCUUUCCCAGAGACACCCGCUGCGGCGGCGGCGCCUCCCCUUCCACACAGCUCCUUCCCGGCCAGUUCACAAGUUCCAACGUGUUCCUGCCCCUCCGCCCCUAGCCGCGCCGAACGCCCGCAGCCCGGGAGGGGGCAGCGCCCAACCCUCUCCCUCCGGCGCACUCACCGAGGCCACGCGGGCACCGGGGAAGGACCGUCCCUCGGUCGCCCUGCCCUGCCCGGGACUGAACCCUGCACGGUCUCCCUAGGGCGCUCUACCAGGCCAUGCCCAGCGCCGUCCUUCCGGCCCGCGCACCGGGCGACAGGUGCUGCGGACGCCGCCGCUCGCCUGGAAAUGCGAGCUACCUGGACAGGAUUCACGGAAACCUUCAGUACCCAGCCACCGGCCAAAGACACCAUCAGGCAAAAAAGCGGAGCCUCCAUGUUCUCUCCUGUCUCAGUCGUGGAAGGAGGACCGCAAGCAGACUCUGGCAGCAGCCUAUGUGCCUGUGGUGGUGAACUCUAGGGGUCAGAACUCAGACAAGCUAAGGUUCAAUUUCUACACCUCCCAAUACUCCAACUCCCUGAACCCCUUCUACACCUUGCAGAAGCCUACUUGUGGCUACCUGUACCGCCGGGACACUGACCACACCCGUAAGCGCUUUGACGUGCCUCCUGCCAACAUGGUUUUGUGGCGCUCCUAGGCAGUCAGAAGCCUGUCCACCUCCACCUUCACCCCCUAACCACCAGUCUUGGAGGGGAAGGGCUGCUCACUCCAGGAGGAAUAGACCGUGCCUGGGCUAGGACAGCUGUGCCAUGCCCACUGUCAAUGAUGGUAAAGGGACUCUCUUGUAGGCAUCAAUUAAAGUUUGUCCUUCCUUU